rnacentral:rRNA from 1 species
AGAGUUUGAUCCUGGCUCAGGAUGAACGCUAGCGGCAGGCCUGACACAUGCAAGUCGAGGGGUAACAGGAGAAGCUUGCUUUUCGCUGACGACCGGCGCACGGGUGCGUAACGCGUAUACAAUCUACCUCUAACUGGAAGAUAGCCCCGAGAAAUCGGGAUUAAUACUCCAUAAUAUGAUUCUUCAGCAUUUUAGAAUCAUUAAAGCUCAGGCGGUUACAGAUGAGUAUGCGUCCCAUUAGCUUGUUGGUAAGGUAAUGGCUUACCAAGGCAACGAUGGGUAGGGGGCCUGAGAGGGUGAACCCCCACACUGGUACUGAGACACGGACCAGACUCCUACGGGAGGCAGCAGUGAGGAAUAUUGGUCAAUGGACGAAAGUCUGAACCAGCCAUGCCGCGUGCAGGAUGAAUGCCCUACGGGUUGUAAACUGCUUUUAUUUAGGAAGAAACCCCCCGACGUGUCGGGGGCUGACGGUACUAAACGAAUAAGGACCGGCUAACUCCGUGCCAGCAGCCGCGGUAAUACGGAGGGUCCAAGCGUUAUCCGGAUUUAUUGGGUUUAAAGGGUCCGUAGGCGGUAUAUUAAGUCAGUGGUGAAAUCCUACAGCUCAACUGUAGAACUGCCAUUGAUACUGAUACUCUUGAAUCUAGUUGAGGUGGGCGGAAUGUGUCAUGUAGCGGUGAAAUGCAUAGAUAUGACACAGAACACCAAUUGCGAAGGCAGCUCACUAAACUAGUAUUGACGCUAAGGGACGAAAGCGUGGGGAGCGAACAGGAUUAGAUACCCUGGUAGUCCACGCCGUAAACGAUGAUCACUCGACAUUGGCGAUAAACUGUCAGUGUCCAAGCGAAAGUGUUAAGUGAUCCACCUGGGGAGUACGGUCGCAAGAUUGAAACUCAAAGGAAUUGACGGGGGCCCGCACAAGCGGUGGAGCAUGUGGUUUAAUUCGAUAAUACGCGAGGAACCUUACCAGGGCUUAAAUGCAAGUUGACAGAUUGGGAAACCAGUCCUUCUUCGGACAAUUUGCAAGGUGCUGCAUGGCCGUCGUCAGCUCGUGCCGUGAGGUGUCGGGUUAAGUCCCAUAACGAGCGCAACCCCUAUCCUUAGUUGCUAGCAGGUAAUGCUGAGGACUCUAAGGAAACUGCCCGCGUAAGCGGAGAGGAAGGUGGGGAUGACGUCAGGUCAGCACGGCCCUUACGUCCAGGGCUACACACGUGCUACAAUGGUGCAUACAAAGGGCAGCUACCUGGUGACAGGAUGCUAAUCUCUAAAGUGCAUCUCAGUUCGGAUCGAAGUCUGCAACUCGACUUCGUGAAGCUGGAAUCGCUAGUAAUCGUGAAUCAGCCAUGUCACGGUGAAUACGUUCCCGGGCCUUGUACACACCGCCCGUCAAGCCAUGGAAGUCGGGAGUGCCUGAAGUCGGUAACCGCAAGGAGCCGCCUAGGGUAAAACUGGUAACUAGGGCUAAGUCGUAACAAGGUAACC